UUUAGCCGAGAGCAAAUUGCCAAGGCUGCAACUUCUCAUCAAAAAACCAAGAAUUCAAAGAUGAAGGAGGAGCAGCUGCUUCCUACACAAACAAGUGACAUUACUGCCUGAGUCUAGCUUGAGAUUAUGUGCCGGAUGAAACCAAUUCAUUGUUUGCAGAAGUGAGAACAUUCAGACAUAUAUCUAUAUAGAAGUGAUGGUGUGAGUGAUAAUUUUCUGUUGUUUUUUAUUUUUUAAAUCAUUGAUUAUGCAGAAUAAAAGAGGCCACUUGCCAUUGAUGCUGUAAAAAUUAUUGAGUAUAUAAAUGCAUGUGCUUUCAUGUGAAGAAACAUUGUAGAUUGGCUGUCCAAGGAGUGGGCCUUCUUGUUCCUGCUAGGUUCUUUCACCAAGAUUUGCAUGGCCACCUGGAUGACUGGGACUCGACAUGCUCUUUUCU
rnacentral:lncRNA from 1 species